UACGUAGGGGGCAAGCGUUGUCCGGAUUUAUUGGGCGUAAAGCGCGUGUAGGCGGCUGGGUAGGUCCGUUGUGAAAACUCGAGGCUCAACCUCGAGACGCCGAUGGAAACCAUCCAGCUAGAGUCCGGAAGAGGAGGGUGGAAUUCCUGGUGUAGCGGUGAAAUGCGCAGAUAUGAGGAAGAACACCCGUGGCGAAGGCGGCUCUCUAGUACGGUACUGACGCUGAGACGCGAAAGCGUGGGGAGCGAACAGG
rnacentral:rRNA from 1 species